GGGUUUUCCUUGUUUUGUUUUUUUUUUUUUUGUUUUCCUCUCUUCCCUCACAGAGGAUGACUGGAAGUGGGCUAAGCGAAUGCGCUACCCAAAGACAAAUUGUCCAGCUUGUCACGGUGAUCCCUGCUCCCCCAAGGAGCCCUUCUCAAGUCUGGACAGGAACGUCUUUUUAAUUCAAAGAAUCCCUGCCUGCCAGUUUGAGAGUUUGAACAUAUCAACAGUGCACUGGUGCAUGGAAAUUGGUAAAUGA
rnacentral:lncRNA from 1 species